AACGAACGCUGGCGGCAUGCCUAACACAUGCAAGUCGAACGAUUGCCUUCGGGUGAUAGUGGCGCACGGGUGCGUAACGCGUGGGAAUCUGCCCUUAGGUUCGGAAUAACAGCUGGAAACGGCUGCUAAUACCGGAUGAUAUCGCGAGAUCAAAGAUUUAUCGCCUGAGGAUGAGCUCGCGUUGGAUUAGGUAGUUGGUGGGGUAAAGGCCUACCAAGCCGACGAUCCAUAGCUGGUCUGAGAGGAUGAUCAGCCACACUGGGACUGAGACACGGCCCAGACUCCUACGGGAGGCAGCAGUGGGGAAUAUUGGACAAUGGGCGCAAGCCUGAUCCAGCAAUGCCGCGUGAGUGAUGAAGGCCCUAGGGUUGUAAAGCUCUUUUACCCGGGAAGAUAAUGACCGUACCGGGAGAAUAAGCCCCGGCUAACUCCGUG
rnacentral:rRNA from 1 species